UUCUGCAGUCAACUUUUUGUGGCUUUUCUGCUUGUUUCUUCGUCUUGCUGACUGACGUUUUUGUUUGACCAUUGGCCGUGUAGCACAGGGUUUGAAGAUUCAAGUCUCGAGAUGUUUUCUCUUAUCCCUGCUUUGCUCCAGCUGUGUUAUCUCACUGCACCCUUCAGUGCUGGAGCCAGAUGUUGCAGGAACGUUUGUGUAGAUGACAAAAAACCGCAUUCCUGAGAGAGCUGGAAAUAAUUUGUGUUGCUGCUAUGUGAGAGGUUAAAUGAGCAACUCAACUUUCUGGCAAGCACGGUGAGAAGCACCUCCAGAGGCCGUGAGUCAGCACUGCUGGAGCGGCAAGAGAGCAGCAGGAGGAUGCAGAGAUGUCAAAGCAAAGCCCUGUUUUGUCCUUAGAACGGCCCGCAGUUGGGACAGCAUCUCAACCUUACGGGAGAGAGCUGCCCAAAUGGCACCGAAUCGCCUGUUGGGAUUGAUGGAGCGUGUGCUGUCGGUCCAUAAUUUGUGCUGAAAUACUCUCAGUAAAUACGUUUGUGAGAGCAA